GGUUCGGUGGUACAAUCGGUUAGAGCGCCAUACUUAUAUAGACUGAUGAGAAAUGUGGAGGUUGUGAGUUCGAACCUCACCCGGAACA
rnacentral:tRNA from 1 species